rnacentral:rRNA from 1 species
UGUAUAAUCCCCGAGGGGGAAAGAUUUAUCGCUAUUAGAUGAGCCUACGUUAGAUUAGCUAGUUGGUGAGGUAAUGGCUUACCAAGGCUAUGAUCUAUAGCUGGUCUGAGAGGACGAUCAGCCACACUGGAACUGAGAUACGGUCCAGACUCCUACGGGAGGCAGCAGUGGGGAAUAUUGGACAAUGGGCGAAAGCCUGAUCCAGCUAUGCCGCGUGAGUG